ACAGUAGUGAGGCUAUAAAAGUAGCGAGGCUACAUACAGACACUGGUUAGUCAGGCUGAUUGAGGUAGUAGGUAGAUAUGGUUGAGGUGAAUAUGCAUAUAUGAUGAGAGAGUAGCAGUAGCGAAGAGGGGUUGGUUGGUAAGCGGGACACAAUGCAGAUAGCCCGGUUAGCCAAUGUGCGGGAGCACUGGUUGAUCGGCCCAAUUGAGGUAGUAUGUACAUGAAUGUAUGUAUAGUUAAAGUGACUAUGCAUAUGAUAAACAGAGUAGCAGCAGUGUAAAAAAGAGGGGUUGGAGGGGGGGCACACAAUGCAAAUAGUCCAGGUAGCCAUUUGAUUACCUGUUCAGGAGUCUUAUGGCUUGGGGGGUAAAAACCGUUGAGAAGCCUUUUUGUCCUAGACUUGGCGCUCCUGUGCCACUUGCCAUGUGGUAGUAGAGAGAACAGUCUAUGGCUGGAGUCUUUGACAAUUUUGAAACAAAUAUGUAUAUGAUACCUUGAAAUGAUGAUUAUAUAAUUGCAAAAGGCCAGAUAUUUUGACAAACUUUCUCUCUGUGAAAUGUUAUAAUCAAAGGGAAAUAAAUAACUAACUCCUA